CUGGGGAUGUGGCUCACGGUUAUGUGACCCUCAGUUCAAUCCCUGGUACAAAAAAAUAACCUAGGGCUGCUGUUAAAAAUUACCAUAGAUUUAGUAACUUAAAACAGAAAUUAAUUUUCUCAAUUGUUGAGGUGGCCCGAAGUCUGAAACCACGGUGUCAUCAGGCCCAUGUUCUCUCCAGAGGGUCUAGAGGAGGUCUUUCCUGCCUCUUCCAGCUUGGUGGUUGCUCUAGUCUGUAGUGCACCUUGGUGGUGACUAAUAACUCCAUCCCUCUGUCCUCCCCCUUGGCCUUCCGUCUGCUUUGUAAAUACACUAGGUGUUGGAUUACAGCCAAUCCUUCUCCAGCAUGACCUCAUCUUAGGAAUUACACCUGCAAAGGACCUGUUCUCAACUAAGGCCCCUACCUGAGGUUCUGGAUGAUAUGACAUCCCUGGUCCCCCAGAAUGGAAGUGUCACAGCUGUUGGCUGGAGUUCAAUCAGAGUGGCAGAGGCACAGGAAGCAGACAGUGGGUGCUUGUGGCAGAUAUGAAGGCCCUGGAGUCACCUGGCUUCCCAGGGACCAGCCAGGAGGAAAUGAAUAAGACAGGCUCCCAGGCUCCCAUGGCGUGCGAUCGUGCUCAUGGGUCCAGGCCUGCUCCUGUCCUCCCUAAGACACCAUGGCCACUGCCUCCCUUCCUCAGACAGCAGGCAGCAGCUCUUGGCUGGUGGAAAGGAGCAGAAGCCAAGGGCCAGGUAGCUGUAUGCUGUCCCCCUGUACUGAGGCUGAGCUGAAGAUGCCAGGUCUGGGAGAAGUCACCUCAGCCCUCUCUGCUGGCCAGCAAGGCCACCUGGAGCACAAGAAUGUAGUGGUGUCUGAAGGCCACAUGGCUGGCCACCACAGGGCAGAGCCAGGAGUCGGACGGCUCAGCCGAUGGGGCCUCCUUGG
rnacentral:lncRNA from 1 species